UACGAAGGGGGCUAGCGUUGCUCGGAAUGACUGGGCGUAAAGGGCGCGUAGGCGGAUGUGACAGUCAGACGUGAAAUUCCUGGGCUCAACCUGGGGACUGCGUUUGAGACGUUAUAUCUAGAGUGAGGAAGAGGGUUGUGGAAUUCCCAGUGUAGAGGUGAAAUUCGUAGAUAUUGGGAAGAACACCGGUGGCGAAGGCGGCAACCUGGUCCUUGACUGACGCUGAGGCGCGAAAGCGUGGGGAGCAAACAGG
rnacentral:rRNA from 1 species